rnacentral:rRNA from 1 species
GCCUAGGAAUCUGCCUGGUAGUGGGGGACAACUUACUCGAAAGGGUCGCUAAUACCGCAUACGUCCUACGGGAGAAAGUGGGGGAUCUUCGGACCUCACGCUAUCAGAUGAGCCUAGGUCGGAUUAGCUAGUAGGUGAGGUAAUGGCUCACCUAGGCGACGAUCCGUAACUGGUCUGAGAGGAUGAUCAGUCACACUGGAACUGAGACACGGUCCAGACUCCUACGGGAGGCAGCAGUGGGGAAUAUUGGACAAUGGGCGAAAGCCUGAUCCAGCCAUGCCGCGUGUGUGAAGAAGGUCUUCGGAUUGUAAAGCACUUUAAGUUGGGAGGAAGGGUUGUAGUUUAAUACGCUGCAACUUUGACGUUACCAACAGAAUAAGCACCGGCUAACUCUGUGCCAGCAGCCGCGGUAAUACAGAGGGUGCAAGCGUUAAUCGGAAUUACUGGGCGUAAAGCGCGCGUAGGCGGCUUGAUAAGAUGGGUGUGAAAUCCCCGGGCUUAACCUGGGAACUGCAUCCAUAACUGUCUGGCUAGAGUACAGUAGAGGGUGGUGGAAUUUCCUGUGUAGCGGUGAAAUGCGUAGAUUAGGAAGGAACACCAGUGGCGAAGGCGACCACCUGGACUGAUACUGACGCUGAGGUGCGAAAGCGUGGGGAGCAACAGGAUUAGAUACCCUGGUAGUCCACGCCGUAACGAUGUCUACUAGCCGUUGGAAUCCUUGAGAUUUUAGUGCGCAGCUACGCACUAAGUAGACCGCCUGGGGAGUACGGUCGCAAGAUUAAGACUCAAUGAUUUGACGGGGGCCCGCACAAGCGGUGGAGCAUGUGG